rnacentral:rRNA from 1 species
AUUGAACGCUGGCGGCAGGCCUAACACAUGCAAGUCGGGCGAGCGGCGGACGGGUGAGUAAUGUAUGGGGAUCUGCCUGAUGGAGGGGGAUAACUACUGGAAACGGUAGCUAAUACCGCAUACCAUCAGAUGAACCCAUAUGGGAUGAGCUAGUAGGUGCGGUAACGGCUUACCGAGGCGACGAUCCCUAGCUGGUCUGAGAGGAUGAUCAGCCACAAGGUGACUGAGAAACGGCCCAGACUCCUACGGAAGGCAGCAGUGGGGGAUAUUGCACAUUGGGCGAAAGCCUGAUGCAGCGACGCCGCGUGGGGGAUGAAGGCUUUCGGGUUGUAAACCUCGUUCGCUAUCGAACGGGUAGGUGGAGAAGAAGCGCCGGCUAACUACGUGCCAGCAGCCGCGGUAAUUC